rnacentral:lncRNA from 1 species
UAAACACCCUUUCCUUACCUGGAAUUUAUUCCAUUUAAGCUCCUCCAUUUCACACUCUCCAGGUCACCUCACCUAAAUGAUACUGGAUGCCAUAACAUCACCAUAACAGUGAUCCCAAAGGAUUUAAUCAGAUUACAGAAAAGAAAUAUGAAUUGGGGAACGACAUCAGAUGGAGGACCAGUAUGGAGGUAUCAGACAGCGCUGAGAAACAGGAUCUGCUGGGUUGCUGGCCAGAGUUGGGCACAUGUGAAAAGUUUUAAGGGUCAACAUUUGUAG